GGUAGAUGCUCUUCUGAUGGUUAAAAAAAAACUUUGAACAGUUUUCCUCCUCACGCGAUCAGUUUCAGAAAACGAAAGCAUCCUCUCCGCGCUGUCUCAGUCGUGCCGCCUCUCUAUUGCGAGCUUUCCUCCAUUGACGCCAGCCAUCCUGAUGAAGUCGAUCCAGCCAGUGGAAGGGGAGAACAAGCAGCGGACGUCUUGCAGUGUUUGGUAGCAGCGGAAGAUGCGGAUCAGUGGAGGAAUUUGAUGGCAGAGGAGCUCUCGGUGAUGGUGAGAUCUAGCUCAGGCAGCCUUCCACCGGAAGGAAGCUAGUUGGAAUCGGGAAAGCUCAGGAGGAGACUCUUGGUGCAGAGAUUUAGUUGCUGGAAAAUGCAUCAGCAGAAGAAAAUCUCAUAAUAUUCCAAAAGUGUN
rnacentral:lncRNA from 1 species